GAUAGUUGGCGGGGUAACGGCCCACCAAUUCAACGAUCGGUAGCCGGACUGAGAGGUUGAUCGGCCACAUUGGGACUGAGAUACGGCCCAGACUCCUACGGGAGGCAGCAGUGGGGGAUAUUAGACAAUGGGGGAAACCCUGAUCUAGCAACGCCGCGUGAAGGAUGAAGGUCUUCGGAUUGUAAACUUCUUUGACGAGGGAAGCGGUACCUCGAGAACAAGCCACGGCUAACUACGUGCCAGCAGCCGCGGUAAUACGUAGGUGGCGGGCGUUGUCCGGAUUUACUGGGUGUAAAGGGCGUGUAGGCGGGACUGCAAGUCAGAUGUGAAAUACGGAGGCUUAACCUCCGAGCUGCAUUUGAAACUGCAAUUCUUGAGUGAUGGAGAGGUAAGCGGAAUUCCCAGUGUAGCGGUAAAAUGCGUAGAUAUUGGGAGGAACACCAGUGGCGAAGGCGGCUUACUGGACAUUAACUGACGCUGAGGCGCGAAAGUGUGGGGAGCAAACAGGAUUAGAUACCCUGGUAGUCCACACUGUAAACGAUGGAUACUAGGUGUGGGGCCGUGCCGGAGUUACACAAUAAGUAUCCCACUGGG
rnacentral:rRNA from 1 species